GAGAGCAAAGUGUGAAUGUGGGCUGGAGACAGGCCUGGGACUGUUAGGACCUGAGUCUGACCGUGGCUCUGGCAUUAAGUUUCCUGUUGCCCUCAGGUCAGUACUAGUUUUGACCGUGGACAGCUGCGUGCUCUGGUUAUGGCAAGUGCAAUCAUACAUACCAACUGGCACUUCAGUCAGGGAUAGGCCAUGUAUAUGAUGAUCUGGGAAGACUAGACUGGAGCUGGAAAACCCUUGGCACCAAGUGAUCUCAUAAUGCUGUUCUACAUCAGGAAAUUAAAAAAAAAAAGCUUCCUGUAAAACAGUAGGCUACGUUAGCUCGGCAGCAGCCUUCCAUGUCUCCUCUGUUGCAGAUCUCUGGAUCGCAAUGUUCCCGCCGUGCCUGAUUUAAUCUUUAAUCACCAUCAAGAGAGCAAGAGGAAGGAUAGACUUGGAAGGAGAAUUAAAAGCAGUAAGGACUAUGGAGCUGGGAAAUCAGAAAUGGUUACUGAGUGCCAGUCAAUCAUGUUCUAUUCCAUCCAAGUUAUUGUCUUGAUGAAAAACCAGUAAGAGAAAUGGGAACCAUUAACGAAUCUGCUGGAAACCAUUAACAGAUCUGUUUCACAGAAGGCAACAGGACUGAGGGAAAUCCCACCAUGGCCUCUAUCACUUAAGGAGAGGCUCCCAGUGAUCGGGACUAAAGACCAGGCACAGAAGCACCACGGUAACCAGAACCAAAGCACAGAGGAUGAUCUCACCGUUGAAAGAGAAGGCCAAGCAAUGAUGCUGGGUUACUAUUAACUCUGGGUGAAUUAUGAGGUUAAAAAAAAAAGGAAUUAUUCACUAUGUAAUAUGCACAGAAUGUCAAGUCUCUGAAUACCAACGUGAAGACAGUUAAACUUGGAAACUCUGGGUUAGGUGACUUCAGGGGAAAAUGAUUUACUAGAGCAAACGUUUAACGUGCUCUGUUUUGGAAAUGAAUGCCUGAUGGGACUUUCACCUUUAGGAGGGCAUUGCCAGUGCUGGGUUUAAAGCUUCCAAAGACAGAUUACAGUCUGGCUUGAGAGCACUGAUGCAGGCUACAGGCUACAGGUUGAAACCCUUUGUGAUCCACUGCCAGUGUGCAGCAGGAAUAGCAAGUCUUGGUAACACAUGGUAACUCAUGAUGCUCUCUCUUGAAUGGCCAUGCCAGCAAAGUAGAGAAGCAUUGCCUAGAAAAAGAUCUCUCUGAUGUUAAUAAUGUCCCCACACUUCCUCUUCUCCUCUUCCUUUGCUCCCUUAUCCUCUUCCCCAUAUCCCUUCCCCCCCCUCCACAUGCUCAUGGCUCUCUCUCUCUCCCUCUCUCCCUCCUUCCCUCCCUCCCCCUUCCUCUCUCUCCCUACCUCCCUCUCUCUGCCUUUCUGUCUCUACUACCCCAUCAACUUCCCUUCUCAUGCCCUACAUAAACUCUAUUCUAUACUAAAAAUAAGAAAUAAAAAAAUGACCCCACACUUUGUCCCUUUGCUGGAACUCACAUCACAAUAUCAAAGUUAUAUUCCCUCCACCCCCUCAAAUACCACUCUCUGCUUUGCCCAAGCCAUUGCUUGUAAAGACACAGAUGCAUUCUUGGGAGAUUAAAACAUCCAUGAAUGGAUGGAAACUUACUUGGAUUCGAGGUGCUAUCAUCAAGGAGUAUAAGGAUGGCAUCUGAAAGAAGACAAGGACUUUGCCCAUAGUUUUAAAUGGCUCACCAAGGAUGAGGGGCUUGCAAAAUUCUAACAGCAAACUUGACCUAGGCAUGGCUGAGGGUGACAUCUAGGAGCUCCCGAGGAAGUGGCUAAUGAAGAGUUGUUGGCACAAGAAGAGGGACGGGAGGAUGAAGAAGAGAUAAGAAAAUAGAAACUAACGGAGUCAAAGACCACUCAAAAGGAGUUGAGGCCAAGAAGGGUCGCAGAAUCCAGCAGAAGUUUCUGCAGCCCUCAAUGAACCCCAAAAGUUUGGAAAUAUGGUGAUCCCAAGACCAUAAAUUUUCGUGAGUUGGGAGGAAUUCUCAAGGUGUGUUGUCUGUUUAAGAUCUGUGGCAGGGAAAUAUUGCAUGGCAACGCUUCACCGGGUGCCAUGGUGUCUUUCGGUGUUUUCACAUUACAGCAAUGGCUUGCUCAGAGCAGAGAGUGGUGUUUGGAGGAAAAAUAUUUCGGAAUUGUGAUACAAGCACAUUGCCAGUAAAGGGGUGAGGUGUGUGGCAACAUUAUCAACAGAGAGGAAAACCUUGAAAGAUGUUUCCCUAAGCAAUGUUUCUCUGCUUCGCUGGCACGGCACCUCCAGAGAGCAUCUUGGGAGGAGAGCCUGUCACGAUGCUCCUGCUGCAUCUUAUUGAUGUUCUCCAAUAAGAGCGUCAGGCAAGGCCUUCAGGAGAAAUUCCAGCAGAAGGCCUUGCUGUCCUAGGAGGUGACAGCUCCCUGUGAGUUAUUACCCAGAAGUCUCUCUGGGGAGAAGAGCUGUGGAGGUCAAGAACUCUGGAAGUCUACCCCUGUGGAGCUCCAGGCUUGUAACUUGAUUGUUAAACAAAAAAAAUUUAAAGUAAA